UCAGUACAGUUUGUGAGAGUUUUUUUCUCAGAGAUCUACCUUCCUGCUGAUAGUAAAGGUCAGAACUCAAGCAAGCAGCAGAAUAGGUUUUGCACGAAAAAUGAAGUGAGUUCCAAAUACCUAUUUGGUAUUAACUGAAAAAGAAAAUCUAUAGAAAUCUGGUGCACUUUGCAGUAUCUAAACAUUUAACACAUGCAUUUAUUUUAUUAUCAUUAACAAGGAAGAUGGAUGCGGACUUCAUCAAUACUUGCAUGAAUAGUAAGUGUGAAAAAUAUAUGAUGUUGUGAACAAAUGAAACUACGACUACUUCUAUGAUGGAGACAAUAACAUUCUUUCUUUUCACAUGCUUCAGAAGUGCUCCGAUAUAACUACAACCAAAAAAGUACAUAUCAAAACUUUAGAUAUCUAACUGCUUUAGAGAAAUGUGAAACCCCAUAUAUGGAGGGAACCUACACAGGGUUCAAAUUACCAAUAUUGGAAAUAUUUUCCUAUUCUUCCAAUAAAAACUUUUGUAAAGGAGAGAA